AAUGGAUAUGUAGGUUUUAAAGCAUUUAAGAAAAUGUUUUCCGUCACUAAAUUGUCCUCCAGAAAAGUGUUGCCAAUCUGACACAGGAAGAAUGGCAUGUCAGCGGAGUUUUAGUUUGUAUUUCCUGGAGUGUAUUUGAGCUGAUGUUCCUCUGCGUGUUAAUAAACAAGUAUUUGUGUGCAUGUGUGUGUCUGCGUUGUGGUGUGGGUGUUCUCCAGCCUGAGGCCUCCGUUUCUCAGCCUGCGCGUGGAGGUCGGCCGAGGCAGCCUCGGAAGUCCGUGGAACUCUGGACAGUGCCCAGAGUUUCUGUAGGAUUUCUUUCUUUGUGGUAUUACCCUUUCUUACAAGUUUCAGAUAUAGGCCAUCAGUCUGCGUCAUUCAAUAAGGAAUAAAGAACUUGGGCUUUUUUUCUUCCCGUGCCGAUAUCGCUCUUGCAAGCAUGGUUAACGUCCCUAAAACCCGCCGGACUUUCUGUAAGAAGUGUGACAAGCACCAACCCCACAAAGUGACACAGUCCAAGAAGGGCAAGGAUUCUCUGUAUGCCCAGGGAAAGCGGCGCUGUGACAGGAAGCAGAGUGGCUAUGGUGGGCAAACUAAGCCGGUUUUCCGGAAAAAGGCUAAAACUACAAAGAAGAUUGUGCUAUAAGGCUUGAGUGCGUUGGGCCCAACUGCAGAUCUAAGAGAAUGCUGGCUAUUAAAAGAUGCAAGCAUUUUGAACUGGGAGGAGAUAAGAAGAGAAAGGGCCAAGUGAUCCAGUUCUAAGUGUCAUCUUUUAUUAUGAAGACAAUAAAAUCUUGAGUUUAUGUU